UCCCCUCGGGCCCCUCGGUCCUUCGGCGCAGGGUCGGCAUGGCGCGCGCGCUGGGGCCCGAGCGGCGGCUCCUGGCCGUCUACACCGGCGGGACUAUCGGCAUGCGGAGCGAGCGGGGCGUGCUCGUCCCCGGGAGGGGCCUGGCCGCUGUCUUGAGGACACUGCCCAUGUUCCAUGAUGAAGAGCACGCCCGGGCCUGUGGCCUCCCUGAGGACACCCUGGUGCUGCCGCCGGCCAGCCCUGACCAGAGAGUCAUCUACACGGUGCUGGAGUGCCAGCCCCUCUUUGACUCCAGUGACAUGACCAUCACCGAGUGGGUUCAGAUUGCCCAGACCAUCGAGAGACACUAUGAGCAGUACCACGGGUUCGUGGUCAUCCACGGCACUGACACCAUGGCCUUCGCGGCCUCCGUGCUCUCCUUCGUGCUGGAGAACCUGCAGAAAACCGUCGUCCUCACUGGCGCCCAGGUGCCCAUCCAUGCCCUGUGGAACGAUGGCCGAGAGAACCUGCUGGGGGCCCUGCUCAUGGCCGGCCAGUACGUGAUCCCCGAGGUCUGUCUGUUCUUCCAGAAUCAGCUGUUUCGGGGCAACCGAGUGACCAAGGUGGACUCGCGCAGGUUUGCGGCCUUCUGCUCCCCCAACCUGCCCCCUCUGGCUGUUGUGGGCACUGACGUCCUAAUCAACCGGGAGCUGGUGCGGAAGACCCGAGGCAAGGACCGGCUGGUCGUGCACAGCAGCAUGGAGCGGGACGUGGGCCUGCUGCGCCUCUACCCCGGGAUCCCCGCCGCCCUGGUCCGGGCCUUCCUGCAGCCCCCCAUGAAGGGCGUGGUCAUGGAGACGUUCGGCUCGGGGAACGGGCCCACGCAGCCCGAGCUGCUGGGGGAGCUCCAGGCGGCGGCGCAUCGAGGCCUCCUCAUCCUCAACUGCACUCACUGCCUCCAGGGCGCCGUGACCUCCGACUACGCGGCCGGCAUGGCCAUGGCGGGCGCCGGCAUCAUCUCAGGCUUCGACAUGACGUCGGAGGCGGCGCUGGCCAAGCUGUCCUAUGUGCUGGGCCAGCCGGGGCUGAGCCUGGACGGCAGGAAGGAGCUGCUGGCCCGGGACCUGCGCGGGGAGAUGACGCUGCCCACGGGCCACGAGCGCCGGCCCUCCCUGAGCUGCAGCACGCUGGGCCGGGGGGUUGCCCAGCUCCUCGCUCUGAGCCAGGAGGCCGACGCCGUGCGGGAUGCUCUGCUGCCUGGUCUGGCCUGUGCCGCGGCCCACGCUGGCAACCUGGAGGCGCUGCAGGCGCUCGUGGAGCUGGGCAGCGAUCUGAGCCUAGAGAACUUCAACGGUCAGACUCCUCUGCACGCGGCCGCCCGGCGAGGCCAGGCUGGGGCGGUCACCAUGCUGCUGCAGAGGGGGGUGCCUGUGGACACCCGAGAUGAGGACGGACUCAGCCCGCUGCUGCUGGCCGUGAAGGGCAGGCAUCGGGGUGUCAUUGGGCUGCUGCGGGCAGCUGGGGCCUGCCUGUCCCCCCGGGAGCUGGAAGACGCGGGGACGGAGCUGUGCAGCCAACUGCUCACCACCCGCUCCGUGGGAGCGCCCUGGAGCCCCGCGCCGCCGGGCAGAGGCCACCCUGCUCUCAGGAGUCCAGAGGCUCUUGGCAGUGAUGCUGCCCCCUGACCGCGCAGCCGGUUGGCCGUGACUUAAUACGACAGCGCUCUCCGCCAUCCGCUCGGCCCAAAACCCGGCCUGCGGUGCUGAGCCUGCUCUAGCUGUGCACACAGAGGGCCUCCCCGGACAUGGUCGCAGGAAUCAUCCUGGCUUGCCGGGGACUUUCUGGUUCUAGCGCCCAAAGUCUCAUGGCCUAGGAGACCCCCUCCGUCUGGGCAACCUGACACAGUUGGUGGCUCUGCCUGGGACCGGCUCGGCAGACACAGCCCCAGCUCCUGGGACGGCUGACGGCCUGUCUUCCGCAGAGAAAUAAACUUGUGUCUCGUUAAA